rnacentral:rRNA from 1 species
AACGAACGCUGGCGGCAGGCCUAACACAUGCAAGUCGAGCGGACCCUUCGGGGUUAGCGGCGGACGGGUGAGUAACGCGUGGGAAUAUGCCCUUCUCUACGGAAUAGUCCUGGGAAACUGGGGGUAAUACCGUAUACGCCCUUUGGGGGAAAGAUUUAUCGGGGAAGGAUUAGCCCGCGUUGGAUUAGGUAGUUGGUGGGGUAAUGGCCUACCAAGCCGACGAUCCAUAGCUGGUUUGAGAGGAUGAUCAGCCACACUGGGACUGAGACACGGCCCAGACUCCUACGGGAGGCAGCAGUGGGGAAUCUUAGACAAGGGGGGCAACCCUGAUCUAGCCAUGCCGCGUGAGUGAUGAAGGCCUUAGGGUUGUAAAGCUCUUUCAGCUGGGAAGAUAAUGACGGUACCAGCAGAAGAAGCCCCGGCUAACUCCGUG